rnacentral:lncRNA from 1 species
CUCAGUGCCUGGUGCGGAGAAAACUUUAGGGGAUGUACGCUGAGUGAGCAAAUGGAUGGAUGUUGAGCAAGUCUGUCCAUUUUACAGAAGAGGAAAUGGAAGCACAGAGAAGAAAUGAAAAAUCGAGCUGUCCCAGGGCCUGGGACAUGCAAGGUUAAAAUAUUUGUUGGACGGAUGGAUAGAGGAAUAUAUAGAUAUGGCUGGGCAUGUUGGCUCAUGCCCAUAAUCCCAACACUUUGGGAGGCCAAGGUGGAAGGAUCGUUUGAGUUCAGGAGUUUGAGCCCAGCCCGGGCAACAUGGUGAAACCCUGUCCCUACAAAAAUACAAAAAAUUAGCGAGGCAUGGUGGCACACUUUUGUGGUCCCAGCUACUCAAGAGGCUGAGGUGGGAGGAUCACUUGAGCCUGGGAGGUGGAGGUUUCCGUGAGCCAAGACUACGCCACUGCACUCCAGCCUGGGUGACAGAGUGAGAUUCCACCUUUCAAAAAU